rnacentral:rRNA from 1 species
ACAUGCAGUCGAACGGGGGUCACUUGACUGAAGUCUUCGGACGGAAGUUAUUUGACUCGAGUGGCGGACGGGUGAGUAACACGUGAGCAACCUGCCUUUUGCUGGGGAAUAACUGUGGGAAACCAUGGCUAAUACCGCAUAUUGUAACUUGGGGGCAUCCUUAGGUUAUGAAAGGAGCAAUCCGGCAAGAGAUGGGCUCGCGUCCGAUUAGGUAGUUGGUGGGGUAAGGGCUCACCAAGCCAACGAUCGGUAGCCGGACUGAGAGGUCGAACGGCCACAUUGGGACUGAGACACGACCCAGACUCCUACGGGAGGCAGCAGUGGGGAAUAUUGGGCAAUGGGGGAAACCCUGACCCAGCGACGCCGCGUGAAGGACGGAGGCCUUCGGGUUGUAAACUUCUUUGGGGAGGGACGAAAGUGACGGUACCUCCAGAACAAGCCACGGCUAACUGCGUGCCAGCAGCCGCGGUAAUACGUAGGUGGCAAGCGUUAUCCGGAUUUACUGGGUGUAAAGGGCGCGCAGGCGGUCCUAAAAGUCAGAUGUGAAAGAUCAAGGCUUAACUUUGACAGGUCAUCUGAAACUUUGGGACUUGAGUAUCAGAGGGGAAAGUGGAAUUCCUGGUGGAGCGGUAAAAUGCGCAGAGAUCAGGAGGAACACCGGUGGCGAAGGCGACUUUCUGGCUGACAACUGACGCUGAGGCGCGAAAGCGUGGGGAGCAAACAGGAUUAGAUACCCUGGUAGUCCACGC